UUCUAUGCUCUAGUCCUUACCGGGUGGUGUGCUGAGGUGGAGGUCGGGGGUAUGGUGCCCUGCGUGGCCAGAGUCGUGGCCCAGGGGUUAGUGUCUCGGGCAGGAAGUGAGGGGGCAGUGCUGGAGAGUUAGACAAAUAUAAUAGAUGAACAUACAGACACCAUGUGGUAUAUAGACAUGGUAAUAUUAGAUGAUACAUACAGACACCAUGUGGUAAUAUUAGAUGAUACAUACAGACACCAUGUGGUAAUAUUAGAUGAUACAUACAGACACCAUGUUGUAAUAUUAGAUGAACAUACAGACACAUGUGGUAAUAGACUGGUCAUAUUAGAUGAUACAUACAGACACAUGUGUAAUAAGUGAUACUACAGACACCAUGUGGUAAUAUUAGAUGAACAUACAGACACCAUGUUGUAAUAUUAGAUGAAUAUGAAAAGAUAUGAACACUGAAGCAACAUAAGCACUUCAUAACGUGUUAUUCAAAAUGCAGGGAGACGAGGCCUAGAAAAGGCACGUGAACUGUGUUAUGGUGGUGUGUCGGCUGUCUUGGUUUGUGUUGCAGUGGAGUGUAGUUACCUGCUGAGCCCCCGGGGGCGCUACAGGUGACUGUGGGUGGAGGUUGGUCGGGGCAUGGGGGCCUGGGAGAAGGGUGUCUUCAGGAGCCCACUGAAGGCUGAGGCGAUCUGGGUAAACAACGAGCUGAUGCUGUCCCCUCUCCCUCCACCUCUGGGACUGGAGGAAUGGGACAUGGA
rnacentral:lncRNA from 1 species